CAGUCAUUAGCUGUGCAGCUGCGCAGGUUGCCGAGGCAACCUUCCCGGUGAGGCGCCGUUUCCUCAAACAAACUGCGCUGUUCCGCCCGCCUCAUUGACUUCGCAUGCCCAGGUUCACACAGAGGGAGCAAUGACUGCGUUAUGUCCCCGGUAGCCUUCUGAAUUCAUCUGGAUUAAUGUCAAAACAAAGAACGAAAUAACCUUGUAAAGUCACCAUCAGUAGCAUUGCAUACGCACAAUCUGCUCGACUCUCACCAAUCCCGCUUCUGAUCCGGGCACUCGACGGAGACUGCUAUCCUUGCUGUGAUGGAGGUGCUUGCCACUGCAAGAGCCUCAUCCCUCUCCUCUGUCCUGAUCCUCCUCAACCUGUCUGCGGCAUUUCACACGGUCAACCACCAACUCCUGAUUUCCUCCCUGGCUGAGAUGGGCAUUUCUGGGACUGCCCUCUCUUGGUUUGCAUCCCAUCUAGCAGAUAGGUCAAUUCUAAAAUAUCUGCCUGCCUGAGUUCGACAUCUCAUCAGGGAUGGCCAGGCAACACCCGAGGCUCAACCUCAACAAGACGGAGCUGCUCUUCAUCCAUCCCAGAGCCUC